GACGUAGGGCGCGAGCGUUGUCCGGAUUUAUUGGGCGUAAAGAGCUCGUAGGCGGCUUGUCGCGUCGUCCGUGAAAACUUGGGGCUCAACCCCAAGCUUGCGGUCGAUACGGGCAGGCUAGAGUUCGGUAGGGGAGACUGGAAUUCCUGGAUGUAGCGGUGAAAUGCGCAGAGUAUCAGGAGGAACACCGGUGGCGAAGGCGGGUCUCUGGGCCGAUACUGACGCUGAGGAGCGAAAGCGUGGGGAGCGAACAGG
rnacentral:rRNA from 1 species